AGUGAACGCUGGCGGUAGGCCUAACACAUGCAAGUCGAACGGCAGCACAGUAAGAGCUUGCUCUUACGGGUGGCGAGUGGCGGACGGGUGAGGAAUACAUCGGAAUCUACUUUUUCGUGGGGGAUAACGUAGGGAAACUUACGCUAAUACCGCAUACGACCUACGGGUGAAAGCAGGGGAUCUUCGGACCUUGCGCGAUUGAAUGAGCCGAUGUCGGAUUAGCUAGUUGGCGGGGUAAAGGCCCACCAAGGCGACGAUCCGUAGCUGGUCUGAGAGGAUGAGCAGCCACACUGGAACGGGGACACGGUCCAGACUCCUACGGGAGGGAGCAGUGGGGAAUAUUGGACAAUGGGCGCAAGCCUGAUCCAGCCAUACCGCGUGGGUGAAGAAGGCCUUCGGGUUGUAAAGCCCUUUUGUUGGGAAAGAAAAGCAGCAGGUUAAUACCCCGCUGUUCUGACGGUACCCAAAGAAUAAGCACCGGCUAACUUCCUGC
rnacentral:rRNA from 1 species